AUCAUUACAAGUGAGGCUACCGAACGUUGGAAACAGCGGUUAGGAGCUUACACCCACCCGUGUUUACAUACUAUUGUUGCUUUGGCGGGCCGUGGCCUCCACUGCGGGCUCUGCUCGUGUGUGCCCGCCAGAGAACCAAACUCUGAAUGUUAGUGAUGUCUGAGUACUAUCUAAUAGUUAAAACUUUCAACAACGGAUCUCUUGGUUCUGGCAUCGAUGAAGAACGCAGCGAAAUGCGAUAAGUAAUGUGAAUUGCAGAAUUCAGUGAAUCAUCGAAUCUUUGAACGCACAUUGCGCCCUGUGGUAUUCCGCAGGGCAUGCCUGUUCGAGCGUCAUUUAACCACUCACGCCUAGCGUGGUAUUGGGGCACGCGUCUCCGCGGCCCUCAAAAUGAGUGGCGGCGCCGGUGGGCUCUAAGCGUAGUACAUACUCCCGCUAUAGAGUUCCCCCGGUGGCUCGCCAAGAACCCCCAAUUUUUACAGGUUGACC
rnacentral:rRNA from 1 species